rnacentral:rRNA from 1 species
GGUUAAGCGACUAAGCGUACACGGUGGAUGCCCUGGCAGUCAGAGGCGAUGAAGGGCGUGCUAAUCUGCGAUAAGCGCCGGUAAGGUGAUAUGAACCGUUAUAACCGGCGAUACCCGAAUGGGGAAACCCAGUGUGAUUCGUCACACUAUCAUUAACUGAAUCCAUAGGUUAAUGAGGCGAACCGGGGGAACUGAAACAUCUAAGUACCCCGAGGAAAAGAAAUCAACCGAGAUUCCCCCAGUAGCGGCGAGCGAACGGGGAGGAGCCCAGAGCCUGAAUCAG